AGGGAGAGCCAUAGCGAUGAAUGGUGCGUGAGCAGUAGACCUGCCUCAGAGCUCGUACCUCAGAGUCCUGGGAAACGUCAUUUUUGUCGCACACACAAGAAACCAGAUCGUCCAACACGUGAGAACAGGUUCGUCUUGAUGCCGGGGUUGGGUUUUCUGUGGAAGGACGACAGGACGCCAGCAAAAGGCCCGGUCAUACUGUCCGCCGGGUGCCAGGCCUUCAGAAUCUCCUGAGUCUGGGCAUCGGGCUGGGCCACGGC